rnacentral:rRNA from 1 species
GACGAACGCUGGCGGCGUGCCUAAUACAUGCAAGUUGAGCGCUGAAGGGUGGUUCUUGUACCAACUGGAUGAGUAGCGAAUGUGUGAGUAACGCGUGGGGAAUCUCCCUUUGAGCGGGGGACAACAAUUGGAAACGAAUGCUAAUACCGCAUAAAAACUUUAAACACAAGUUUUAAGUUUGUAAGAUGCAAUAGCAUUACUCAAAGAAGAUCCCGCGUUGUUUUAGCUAGUUGGUGGGGUAAAGGCUCACCAAGGCGAUGGUAGAUAGCCGGCCUGAGAGGGUGAUCCGGCACAUUGGGACUGAGACACGGCCCAAACUCCUACUAGAGGCAGCAGUAGGGAAUCUUAGGCAAUGGACGAGAGUCUGACCGAGCCACGCCGCGUGAGGGAUGAAGGGUUUCGGGUCGUUAAAGUCGGUUGGUAGAGGAGAACGUUGGUGGGAGUGGAAAGCUCAUCUAGUGACGGUAUCUACCCAGUAAGAGACGGCUAACUACGUG